GUGAAUAAAGGGGGUCUCCCCUCGAGCUAUCUUCAUCAUCGAUAGGUAAUUCCCCUGGGUCAGCUUCACAAUCGAGGAGCUUCACUAUGGAUCCAAACAGCCCUUGGUCCCAGAUAGUCCAAGGAUAGAGGAGAUUUAGGUGGGAGAUGGCUAGAGCCAGUAAUGCAAAAAUUGAAUAACUAGAGUAGAGGUUUAUCAAGGUGAUCAAAUUCUCGGAGGAAAUCCAACCAUCAUCAAAGCAUAUGUGUUCAACCUUGAUAGGUAUCCAUUACAGGCUGAUGCUCAUGGAGUUUGCUACACUAGAUAAUCCCUAAUUUCUUAAUUUGGAUAUCUGCUGGCAUCUUCUCUUGGUCACCUUUAUCAUCGCUUCGGUUCUCAUGAAUGCUUGGGCUAUAUCACAAGACGGCCCCCCCUAACAUGCAUGCUCUUCUUGGAUGACAGAGCUUGCUUGUUUUUCUGAUGCCUGGCCAUAACCAAGUUCAACGCAAGAUCCUACAGCUACUUUAUAUGCCUUGGACAAGUUAGUCAUGCUCAGAGGAAUUACACAAUAUCUAAAUUCUGGUUACAAGAGAAUGUUUCAAAAUGGAAUAUUAGUUAUACAUCAUAGACAAUGUUUUCCAGCUAACUCAAGAGGAGUUUCUCAUGUCUUAAUUCUGAUGGAGCAACAAAAUCUGAUUACUGGGAAAGAGGUGGAUGGAGGUCAUUUUCUAGACUUGGUAUUCUUCUGUCUUCAAGGGUUACUUUGGGUUUGCUUCCUUUGUCGGUUCAAGCUACUCCACUUUGUUUCUGUCGGUCCAACAGCAAUGUGUGUAACUCAGAUACGGUGUGGAGGAAGAGGGUUCCAAGAGUCAAAGCACUGCAUGCUGUGAAACUAGCCACGUCAAAACUCAUCCCACCUCGAAGAAGGCGGCCUAUUUCAGCUCCCUCUGUACCUUUGGAUGAACAGGCUAUCCCUGGUGACUCGGCCAAGAUUGAUAUCUCGGAGCUUGCAACAGGUGGACUGUUACUUCAUUCCUUUGACUCACAGGCUAUCCUGGAUUGGGCUAAAAAAUCAGGAGUGAAGUUUCAAGACGCGGAUUCCAGAAAAAUUUUGGCGAUGCUUAGGAGCUUGGAAGAGAGCCUGAAUUAAAUGGUCCCUUCAACUCAUGGGUACUCGUUGCUCGAUAUUUGGUCAUGACAUUGUUAACUUGGAACAUUAGAGGGCUUGGUGAAAGACCUAAAAGAAGAAUUGUUAAAGACUUCCUGGACAUGAAUCAUUGUGGUGUUAUCGGUUUGCGGAAGACCAAGCUUGAGAAUCCUUCGACAGUCUUGUUAAAAUCGAUCUCAGGGGGAAAAAUCAGUAGAUGGUUACUUUGCAAUGCUGUGGGGUCUGCUGGAGGCAUCUUUGUGGGAUGGGAUGGAGCCAAGUUUGAUCUCAUUAAAGACCGAAUCGAAAAAUUCUCUAUAACUACUCACUGGUUUGAUAGGUCUCGGGACUUUGCUUGGUCUUUUACCUGUGUAUAUGGUCCUACAGAUCGCAAUCUCAAGAAGAGCUUCUGGAAAGAAUUGACUGAAAUACAUUCAUCCCUGAAUGGACCAUGGAUUCUGGGUGGAGAUUUUAAUGCAACUGUUGAGGAUCAUGAUAGGAACAACCCUGAGCAUCGAAAGUGUUCCAAGGCAUUUCGAGCUUUAAUCAGAACUGCACAUCUGGUAGAUCUACCUCUAA